UACGGGGGGAGCAAGCGUUGUUCGGAUUUACUGGGCGUAAAGGGCGCGUAGGCGGUCAGCACAAGUCAGUUGUGAAAUCUCCGGGCUUAACUCGGAAAGGUCAACUGAUACUGUGCGACUAGAGUGCGGAAGGGGCAACUGGAAUUCUCGGUGUAGCGGUGAGAUGCGUAGAUAUCGAGAGGAACACCUGCGGCGAAGGCGGGUUGCUGGGCCGACACUGACGCUGAUGCGCGAAAGCCAGGGGAGCGAACGGG
rnacentral:rRNA from 1 species